AAGUGAAGCCAGCGGAGUGGAGUGGACAAAUCUCCGAACCACAAAUUCCAAUUCAAAAACUUUUUCCCCGAGUAGCCUCGCCGUCGCCGUCGCCGGAGAUGGAGGCGGCGCGGGAGUCAAUGGCGGCGCUCGUCGACGCCGGCCUCUACGACUGCGCCCAGACGCUCGGGUGCUUUCUUGUGUCUUCAUCACCUGCGAGCAGCGAGGCUGGUAUGUCCAUGAAGGUGGAAAGCUUGGUACUGCAUGGUGAUGCUUUGCAUGGAGAGAAAGAAUUUCGCAGGGCACUGAGUGCCUACAAACAAGCUAUGCAAUACAGCAAAAACAUUCCUAGGCAAGCAACAAGUAAUACUAGAAGCUCAGUAACUGCCACUGGCCGGUCUCCUUCUCCAAAUUCUUCAAGUCUUGCACCACUCAAUGAAAAUGAGGUGAAAUUUAAAAUUGCACUUUGCUAUUCUGCUCUACGUGAGCAUCGUGAAGCACUUCAAGAGAUGGAAGGGAUUCCUUCUAAAGCGAGGACUCUAAAAAUGAAUCUGAUGUUAGGGAAGCUAUAUCGGAUAUCCAGAAAUAAUCGUGCAGCUGCUGUAUGUUAUAAAGAGUGCCUGAGGCAAUGCCCUUAUGUUUUUGAGGCUAUUACAGCUUUGGCUGAAAUGGGGCUUUCUUCAAAGGAGUUCUCUUUGAUAUUCUCACAAGCACCAAAUCGAGGAGGCAAGGCUCCAGGUGACUCUUUAGAUGCACAGCGUUGGUGGAACCGCUAUGUUGAGGCCCAAUGUUGCAUUGCUUCACAUGAUUAUAAAGGUGGCCUUGACAUAUAUCUAGACUUAAUGCAGCGAUUCCCGAACAAUGUGCACAUCUUGCUGGAAAUUGCUAAGGUUGAAGCCAUCAUAGGUAGGAAUGAUGAAGCUAUCAUGAACUUUGAAAAGGCUCGGUUAAUUGAUCCAAACAUCAUGACAUAUAUGGAUGAGUAUGCAAUUCUCCUUAAGUCAAAAUCUGACUACACAAAGCUUAACAAGUUGGUACAUGAUAUGCUGCAUAUUGACCCUGCAAGACCAGAAACAUGUCUUGCUCUUGCAGCAUUGUGGGAAAGAAAAGAUGAAAGAAAAGCUUUGACAUAUGCUGAAAAGAGUCUCCGAGUUGAUGAUAGACAUAUAACUGGAUAUAUCAUGAAGGGAAAUCUUCAUCUUUUGUUGAAUCGACCUGAUUUGGCAGUCACAGACUUCAGGGGAGCUCAAGAACUUAGGGCCGAUCUUCGCUCUUAUCAAGGAUUGGUACGUGCUUAUCUAGCGCUCUCUAAAUGCAAAGAUGCAUUAUUCACUGCACGUGAAGCAAUGAAGGUUAUGCAUCAGUCUGCAAAAGCUCUCAAAUUAGUUGGUGAUGUGCAUGCUAUCAGUUCCAGUGGGAGAGAGAAGGCUAGGAAGUUCUAUGAAUCCGCCAUUCGUCUUGAACCUGGAUUUCUGGGAGCUGCAUUGGCUUUGGCUGAUCUGCAUGUCGCUGAAGGACGAAAUAAGGAUGCAGUAUUGCUGCUUGAAAGAUAUCUAAGACAGUGGACAGAUGAUUCUCUACACAUCAAGUUGGCUCAAGUUUUUGCAGCAACGAAUAUGCUUUCUGAUGCACUUUCCCACUACCAAUCUGCUCUAAGGAUAAACCCACAUAAUGAGGCCGCAAAGAAAGGAUUGGAACGCUUAGAGAAGCAAAUGAAGGGAGUAGACCCGGACGCGCCUGAAGAGGACGAAGAGAACGAAGCUGACGAUGUCGACGGUGAUCAAGACGACGCUGAACUACUGUAGAAAAAACCUGAUCAACUCACAUCAACCCAAGGCACCACCUCUUACCAAGCGUCAACUGCGAAAGAGGACCAAAUCUGCAGCCGCUGCCACAGCAGGAGAGCCCCUCAAUUGCCAUAUAUCAACUAGCAACUUGGAAGGCACGGCAACUGGAAGACGAGUGACGACGACGGGUGCCUCUCCCUUACCGCGAUGAUCAGAUACGUACGGUAUGUAUAAGUACGGCGAUUCUACCACGCACAGUGGUACAUACGUAUACGUACACUAGCCAGCAGCUGGAGCUGGCUGGCUUCUCUACUACACUGGCAUGCAGCUUGGUGUGGCAGGCUACACCCAGAGCGCGCCGGCGUCGCGGAGGAGCGGGACAAGGCCGCCGGCGACGUGGAGCGACAUGACCCGGUCGGUGGAGCCGACGAGCCUGCCGCCGAUGAACACUGUCGGCACCACGACGCCGCGGCCGCGGCCACCGCCGUUGGCGGCGGUGCCGGCGAGCAACAUCCCGGCGAGCGCGUUCUCCAUGUCGGCGCCGGCGGGCUCCUCGUCGAGCUCCACCACGCGGGCGUCGACGCCGAGCUCCCGGAGCAGGCGCGUCACGGCGUGGGACAUGCCGCACGAGCUCUUGCUGAACACCACCACCGCCUUCUGCGACGCCAGCCUUGUCACCCUGUCCAUCUCUAUAUAUGCAAAUGUCUAUGUGCCUAGUGUCUUCUUCCCCGUCUCCGGCGACUACGACCUGGCCGCGGAAUGCGCCGGGAUCUUUGGCUGGAUGGAUGUCACCGGCGGUGAUCGCCCGAUCGAUCGAGGUUGUGUCACUUGUUAGUGAUGCUGAUCUGCUGGUUGUGCUUGCAUUUGAGAGGUUAGGGAAGGCAUGCUUAUAUAGUGUUCUUAUGCAUGUUGGCGAAAUGGUAUAUCGCGCGUGCAAAUGCUGGGUGAAGAUGGAGUUAAAGAAUCUUCAGAGGAAUAAUUAAAGGCGAUCGAUCGAUUUAUGCAUUUCUGCGGGUUUUUUUUUUCUUCUCUCUCUCUCUUUUGGUUUUGGGAUAAUGCUUGGCACCAUUUCUGGGUUGUGAAAAAGAUGAGCUGAUAGAUAGGUUGGUAAGGAAUAUGGAACAUUUUGGCGGCGACGGAAACGAUUUGCGGCGUUUUUUUUUGCACAAAAGGUGGCUGCAUUUUGAAAAGGCCUGAUACACCUGAUAAUUUUUGUUAUGAACGAUGAUCGUGCUGUGCAAGGUUACUUUUUCGAUUAUGAUUUCUUUCUUUUAUCCGGUAAGGAUGAUCAGCAAUCCACUAGACUGUCGAUACGUAACAAUGUAACUCGGUACUAUGUAUGAUGUUUGGGAGUGAAUUAACACACGAUCAGAGAUAA